UUUAAGUGCAGUUUUCAGUCUAUGCGUCUAACAUUUGACCGUCCGUCUUAUUUAAGAAAUUAAUAUUUUUUUAGAAAAUAAGUCACACAUAAAACACUAUUCAUAUUUUAUCAUCUAAUAAUUAAGAAAAAAGUAAAAUAAGACGAAAAGUUAAACGUUGAACACAGAAUAAAAACUAUACAUAAA
rnacentral:pre_miRNA from 1 species